rnacentral:rRNA from 1 species
AUUGAACGCUGGCGGCAGGCCUAACACAUGCAAGUCGAACGAGUGGCGGACGGGUGAGUAAUGUCUGGGAACCUGCCUGAUGUAGGGGGAUAACUACUGGAAACGGUAGCUAAUACCGCAUACCCUCGGAUGUGCCCAGAUGGGAUUAGCUAGUAGGUGGGGUAAAGGAUCACCUAGGCGACGAUCCCUAGCUGGUCUGAGAGGAUGACCAGCCACACUGGAACGGAGACACGGUCCAGACUCCGACGGGAGGCAGCAGUGGGGAAGAGUGCACAAUGGGCGGAAGCCUGAUGCAGCCAUGCCGCGUGUAUGAAGGAGGCCUGGGGGUUGUAAAGGACUUUCAGCGGGGAGGCGUUACCAGCAGAAGAAGCACCGGCUAACUCCGUGCCAGCAGCCGCGGUAAUAC